rnacentral:rRNA from 1 species
UACAGAGACUGCAAGCGUUAUUCGGAUUCACUGGGCGUAAAGGGUGCGCAGGCGGCCGAGUGUGUGAGGCGUGAAAGCCCGGGGCUUAACCCCGGAAUUGCACCUCAAACUACACGGCUAGAGCAUUGGAGAGGGUAGCAGAAUUCAUGGUGUAGCAGUGAAAUGCGUAGAUAUCAUGAGGAAUACCAGAGGCGAAGGCGGCUACCUGGACAAUUGCUGACGCUCAGGCGCGAAAGCGUGGGGAGCAAAAGGG